UACCUUAUCUGGCAGGGACAAUACCGUGAUCAAGGAGUUGGUUUGCCCAAAGCGAGGCUCAGCCAUUGCACUCGUGCUGUGCUGACCUUUGCGAGUUCCCCAAAUGCAGGAAUCUCAACUGCAUAAUUUCUGACAGUGAGGGACUGCGUAUGCGUUCUCGUCUU